rnacentral:rRNA from 1 species
UACGUAGGGGGCAAGCGUUGUCCGGAUUUAUUGGGCGUAAAGAGCGUGUAGGCGGCCUUACAGGUCAGCUGUGAAAACUCGAGGCUCAACCUCGAGACGUCGGUUGAAACCGUAUGGCUAGAGUCCGGAAGAGGAGAGUGGAAUUCCCGGUGUAGCGGUGAAAUGCGCAGAUAUCGGGAAGAACACCCGUGGCGAAGGCGGCUCUCUGGGACGGUACUGACGCUGAGACGCGAAAAGCGUGGGGAGCGAACAGG